rnacentral:rRNA from 1 species
GACGUAGGGCGCGAGCGUUGUCCGGAUUAUUGGGCGUAAAGAGCUCGUAGGCGGCUUGUCGCGUCGUCCGUGAAAACCAGGGGCUCAACCCCUGGCUUGCGGUCGAUACGGGCAGGCUAGAGUUCGGUAGGGGAGACUGGAAUUCCUGGUGUAGCGGUGAAAUGCGCAGAUAUCAGGAGGAACACCGGUGGCGAAGGCGGGUCUCUGGGCCGAUACUGACGCUGAGGAGCGAAAGCGUGGGGAGCGAACAGG